AGAGUUUGAUGCUGGCUCAAGACGAACGCUGGCGGCGCGCCUAAUACAUGCUAGUCAAACGAGAGAGAGGGAGCUUGCUUCCUCCAUCUAGUGGACAACGGGUGAGUAACACAUGAGGAACCUGCCACAUACAGGGGGACAACGGUUUUGAAACGACUGCUAAUACCGCAUUAGAGCCCACAGGUCGGCAUCGACCAGAGGGAAAAGGAGCAAUCCGCUUUGAGAUGGCCUGGCGUCGGAUUAGCUAGUUGGUGAGGUAACGCCCCACCAAUGCAACGAUCGGUAGCCGGACUGAGAGGUUGAACGGCCACAUUGGGACUGAGACACGGCCCAGAUUCUUACGGGAGGCAGCAGUGGGGAAUAUUGCCCAAUGGGGGAAACCCUGAUGCAGCGACGCCGCGUAGAGGAAGAAGGUCUUGGGAUUGUAAACUCCUGUUGUUGAGGAAGAUAAUGACGGUACUCAACAAGGAAGUGACGGCUAACUACGUGCCAGCAGCCGCGGUAAAACGUAGGUCACAAGCGUUGUCCGGAAUUACUGGGUGUAAAGGGAGCGCAGGCGGGAAGACAAGUUGGAAGUGAAAUCUAUGGGCUCAACCCAUUAACUGCUUUCAAAACUGUUUUCCUGGUAGUGCAGAGGUAGGCGGAAUUCCCGGUGUAGCGGUGGAAUGCGUAGAUAUCGGGAGGAACACCAGUGGCGAAGGCGGCCUACUGGGCACCAACUGACGCUGAGGCUUGAAAGUGUGGGUAGCAAACAGGAUUAGAUACCCUGGUAGUCCACACCGUAAACGAUGAUUACCUAGGUGUUGGAGGAUUGACCCCUUCAGUGCCGCAGUUAACACAAUAAGUAAUCCACCUGGGGAGUACGACCGCAAGGUUGAAACUCAAAGGAAUUGACGGGGGCCCGCACAAGCAGUGGAGUAUGUGGUUUAAUUCGACGCAACGCGAAGAACCUUACCAAGUCUUGACAUCCUGCGACGCACAUAGAAAUAUGUGUUUCUUUCGGGACGCAGAGACAGGUGGUGCAUGGUUGUCGUCAGCUCGUGUCGUGAGAUGUUGGGUUAAGUCCCGCAACGAGCGCAACCCUUACUGUCAGUUAUUAUGCAAGAGGACUCUGGCAGGACUGCCGUUGACAAAACGGAGGAAGGUGGGGACUGACGUCAAAUCAUCAUGCCCUUUAUGACUUGGGCUACACACGUACUACAAUGGCGUUAAACAAAGAGAAGCAAGACCUCGAGGUGGAGCAAAACUCAGAAACAACGUCCCAGUUUGGACUGCAGGCCGCAACUCGCGUGCAGGAAGUUGGAAUUGGUAGUAAUGGUGGAUCAGCAUGCCACGGUGAAUACGUUCCCGGCCCUUGCACACAACACCCGUCA
rnacentral:rRNA from 1 species